GUUUGAUCAUGGCUCAGGAUGAACGCUGGCGGCGUGCUUAACACAUGCAAGUCGAACGGGAAAUAUUUCAUUGAGACUUCGGUGGAUUUGAUCUAUUUCUAGUGGCGGACGGGUGAGUAACGCGUGGGUAACCUGCCUUAUACAGGGGGAUAACAGUCAGAAAUGGCUGCUAAUACCGCAUAAGCGCACAGAGCUGCAUGGCUCAGUGUGAAAAACUCCGGUGGUAUAAGAUGGACCCGCGUUGGAUUAGCUAGUUGGUGGGGUAACGGCCCACCAAGGCGACGAUCCAUAGCCGGCCUGAGAGGGUGAACGGCCACAUUGGGACUGAGACACGGCCCAGACUCCUACGGGAGGCAGCAGUGGGGAAUAUUGCACAAUGGGGGAAACCCUGAUGCAGCGACGCCGCGUGAAGGAAGAAGUAUCUCGGUAUGUAAACUUCUAUCAGCAGGGAAGAUAGUGACGGUACCUGACUAAGAAGCCCCGGCUAACUACGUGCCAGCAGCCGCGGUAAUACGUAGGGGGCAAGCGUUAUCCGGAUUUACUGGGUGUAAAGGGAGCGUAGACGGUGUGGCAAGUCUGAUGUGAAAGGCAUGGGCUCAACCUGUGGACUGCAUUGGAAACU
rnacentral:rRNA from 1 species